ACGGGUGAGUAACACGUAGGCAACCUGCCCUCAAGUUUGGGACAACUACCGGAAACGGUAGCUAAUACCGAAUAGUUGUUUUCUUCGCCUGAAGGAAACUGGAAAGACGGAGCAAUCUGUCACUUGGGGAUGGGCCUGCGGCGCAUUAGCUAGUUGGUGGGGUAACGGCUCACCAAGGCGACGAUGCGUAGCCGACCUGAGAGGGUGAUCGGCCACACUGGGACUGAGACACGGCCCAGACUCCUACGGGAGGCAGCAGUAGGGAAUCUUCCGCAAUGGGCGAAAGCCUGACGGAGCAAUGCCGCGUGAGUGAUGAAGGCUUUCGGAUCGUAAAGCUCUGUUGCCAGGGAAGAACGCUUGGGAGAGUAACUGCUCUCAAGGUGACGGUACCUGAGAAGAAAGCCCCGGCUAACUACGUGCCAGCAGCCGCGGUAAUACGUAGGGGGCAAGCGUUGUCCGGAAUUAUUGGGCGUAAAGCGCGCGCAGGCGGUCAUUUAAGUCUGGUGUUUAAUCCCGGGGCUCAACCCCGGAUCGCACUGGAAACUGGGUGACUUGAGUGCAGAAGAGGAGAGUGGAAUUC
rnacentral:rRNA from 1 species